GGUCAGAUGCCUUGUCAAUCCCAGCAGGUAUAUAAGAGGACAACCCAGGCCAUAAAAGGUUUACAUAGUUCAGUUAUUGCAAAAGUUUUUCAGUGUUAAUUUUAUGCAUUUUUUUAAAAUCACCAUGGUAUUUAACAAUAACAUCUUAUGUCCUUUAGAGGAAAAAUUGUGAAUUGUAGAAUUUUAAAUACCCGCCAUCAUCCUUGGCUUCACUCAAUUUUGUUUAUAACACUCCUCCAUUUUCUUCUAGUUGUGAGGGUGGGGGUGGGGAGGGGCCUCACAAGUGGAGUAUCCUAGGAGUAUCUCUUCAUCUAAAUCCGGCCCUGGCCUGAGGUGGUUCUUCACUUGGGCUCCAGGUGAGGAUGCCUCUGGAGCUCUGUACAUUAUAGCGCUUGUCAGAUGAACAGACAUACGGAAUUAAUGUUACAAUGUAUGGGCUGUGUGGGAUUCCCCAUUAACAUUUAUUGGAGAUUGUCAUCACAUUGGGCUCAAUGAAGUCCAGAUGUGGGAACCUUACAAGCAAAACUCUAAAAGGCGAAGGUUAGACACGUUGUAAUUUCUCCAUGCACACACACCCAUUCUCCAACACAUUCACCCCACCCAGCAAUUCUGCAAUUUGGCUGAUUUAUUGUUAUUAAGCCCAACAAGAUUUGGUAGAGGAGAAAAUCAAAGAGAGCAACACGUGGCUGAAAUUGCAUGGUGCUGAGCUGCCGAAAAGAUCACCCUGUUUUCUUUCAGGGUGGAGACUUUUUUUAAAAAGCACUGCUGAAAGAACUGCUGCUGAAAGUUUUGCUGAGAGAUUCAAUGUCUCAUUAUAUCAGCUGACAGAUAAAGGAGGGGUAAUAAGUUAUUACAAAACAGUAGUCUUUGCUUUAAACAGCGAUAAAAUAUUUCAGGAAGAAAGUUAUUUUCUUUGACAUCCCUUUUUUCCCCAUUCCAGCUUAUAUAUCAUCAUGACUGUAUGUAUGAGAGUCUAUGUAGGACAGCGGUGGGGAACCUGUGGCCCUCCAGAUAGUGCUGAACUACAACUCCCAUCACCCCAAGCUUGCUGGGGCUGAUGGGGGUUGUAGUUCAGCAACAUCUGCAGGGCCGUAAGUUUCCAGUAUCAUAGAAUUAUAUAAUUGUAGAGUUGGAAGGGACCACAAGGGUCAUCUAGUCCAACCCCCUGCAACGCAGGAAUCUUUUGCUUAAACGCACAACCCCGAGAUUAAGAGUCCCAUGCUCUACCAACGGAGCUCUCUCCCAACACUUAGCACGAGAUACUAUGUAGGAGGGUGUAUGAGAAGUUGAGAUUGAGGUUGCAGCUGUAUACAUACUUAACUGGGACUAAAUAUCAAUGAACUCAAUGGGGUUUACGUUUGAGUAGGAAUAGGGGAGCAAUUCCAAUUUGUUGGCAUUUUAUGGAGAAACUAAAACUGAAACACAGCUGUGCUUCAAAAUUAACACUUCUGGAAAUUUUACAGUACAAUUCUCCAACCAACAUCCCAUCAGAUGUCAAAGAGUAGACCUUUUGACAACAAGGAAGAGUAGCAGCAAGGCCAGGAUACUCUGGCGGUUGACAAGACAACAGGGCUUCUACAGGUGCCCACUGUUGCUUACUUCAGAUGCUGGCCGUUCCAUGUUUUUAUGGGAUCCUAGAGAGGCAUCAUGACUGGAGUCCUCACACCUCAUCCUCAUCUACUGCUGAAGUAUGAAUGAAUAAAUGAAAGAAUGCUGUAGUCGGUUCCCACCCCUAAACUCUUUUUACUUGGUCAUUGUGACAGAGCUGCCCAAAGGAUAAUCAAAAUAUGGGCAGAGAUAGAAGAUGGGAGGACAGUAUGUAUUCUCAGUUUGCUCAGAGCUUAGGCACAUCCAAGGAGGCACCUCCUGCAUUUUGGGCCUCAGCAACCUUGCCAUCUGCUGGCUCCAGCCAGGUGAGUGGGGUUGCAGUUGAACAACAAAGUGAGAUCUUCUCCAAAGGCUAGUUCCUAUUAUCCACUUAUCUUUACUGCACUCAUUGUGGCCCCAAAAUUUAAAAAAUCAGCAGGAAUGACAUAGUGGACUAAAAUUACAAAGUACCAAAGUACCAUUUUAUAAACAGGUACUUGCACAUGUUUAUUUCCUUUUUCCGCUCCCCAUUCCUUUUUACUUUUGUAUUGCAGCUAUCAGAUUGUAAGUCAUUAUUUUAAACUGUAAACCAUUUUAAGUGCAAUAGUAGAAAGUCAACACAUGAGCAUAGCAAAUAAAACAUGCUGCUUUGACGUUUCUGAUAGCUGAUGUUUUGUUAUAUUAUGUUUUUUUCAUUGUGCUCUUGAUGUUUUCACUGCAUUUUAAGGCCUUCAAUAUAAAUCAAUUUGAUGGCCUAUUGGUACCAAAAUAGUAGUAUAGAAAUUUGAAUGAUAAUAGUAGUAAUAAAAUAAAAUUAAUAUAAGGGACCUGAAUGUAGUUAUAGUCAGAUUCUGAAUCAUAUAGGUUGGUGGUUGGCCAGUUGUCAACAAGUGUUCAUAAAUGCAUUUAUUUUCUCCUAGCUUAUCUUCUGAAGGAAUUACAGUUCUUGCUAACUAUCCUUAUGUGAAAGUGCAUGAAAAGUUUAUUAAAUAACUGUAGAAAAAUAUGCCCUAGUCCAGGCUUCCUCAACCUUGGCCCUCCAGAUGUUUUGAGGCUACAAUUCCCAUCAUCCCUGACCACUGGUCCUGCUAGCUAGGGAUCAUGGGAGUUGUAGGCCAAAAACAUCUGGAGGGCCGAGGUUGAGGAAGCUUGCCCUAGUCAUAGAUUUACAGCACAGUCUUAUGCAUAUCUACUCAGAAGUAAAUCCCACUAAGUUCAAUGAGACUUACUCCCACUAUAUGCUAUAAGUGUAUAGCAAAUUGUAACUUUGUUUACUUUAAAAACAUCCAUCCUGCUCUUUCACCAUCAGAGUACUCUGAAGAGCUUAUAGUAAAGCAGGAAUAAAAGUUAACAUAUUAAAAUACGUUAAAGGAUGCAAGUAGUACCAUAACAUUAAUAAACAAUAGAAAAAAAGAACCAGUAGUAUUAAGAAACAGCAGACUCAGGGCCAGCCUACCCAUCAGGCUUGAUGAGGAAGUUGCCUCAGAUGGCAGACUUGGGGCAGCUGGGCAGGUGGCAGAUCCAGGCCUGCAAGGAGUGUGCUGCUUGCCUCCUCCCUGUGCUUGUUGCCCACCUUCUCUGUUGCUGCAGCCACCCUGCCACCUCCUCUUCCACUGCCACCCUCCCACCACCUCUUUUUCAGCUUGGCUUUUUCUCAGGUGACAGUGGGGGACGGGGAGGUGAUGGAGUCAUUUGGGGAUGUAUUUUCUGUCUUGCCUCUGUCUCGUCAAAACAUCCUGCGCCAGCCCUGAGCAGAAAGCCAUGUUUCAACAGCAUAUUUUUUAAAAAUGUGAAUCUGGUUGGCUUAUCUUGAGAGAGUGCUCCACAGUAGUGGUGCCACCACCGUGAAGGCACUCUCCUCAUGGCCAUCAAUCUGACCUCCAUCAGAGAAGAAACAUAGAGCAAGCCCUCAUUAAAUGGAAAGGCUCACAAGGGAGUUGACCCCUGAUCCUACUCUGUGAGGCCUAGAAUGGAAAAAACCCUAGAAAGUGCUGUAGUGAAGAGGGCAGAUCAUGAUCUCAAUAGACUCCCAUCAGAUUUCAGCAUUGGCUUUCAUAACACUACACUCCAUUAAAAGAUAUUGUACUAGGUGAAAAAGAAAAUAAUCAAUUAAUAAAGUGUUAUGUACUGAAGUUCUCAUCCUGGGCCAGCAGGGGGAUACUGUAGAUAGUUUUCACUCAGCUCCACAUAUGCAAAUAAGGGAUUGAAAGUGACGUUCAGUGAUUGGAUAGUUACGGAAAAUAGUCACUGUUGUGUUCUGGUAGAGCUCUAUAUAAGCAGGCUGGCUGAACCCUUCAGUUCAGUUCUGUUCUGGCCUGUGAAUAAACAAGAGCUGUUUG